CUCCACUCCGAGGAUCUUUACAGCACUGCAUCUGACGGCUGAGAAUAAAAGUGUCCUAAACACACAAGCUUGAAAAUCGCUUCACCUUACAGCCGAAACCUCCGUCUCUACGGGCAUGUGAAUGUGAGCACAUAUUUGUAUUUAUGGGGAGAAUUUAUGGGCUGUUUGCCUGUGUGCACCAAUGAUUCCAGGCUCAUCAGAGAACAUGUUGUAGAAAACAGCAUGAAGAAAUUUAACGAGAAAAAAAGAAAACGGAUGGAAGAAAACUUAACCUUCGUGAGAGUCGUGUCAAUCUAUAAACUAGUAAAUGAUCACCUUUAUUACAGGUGUGCAAACCCAGGGAACAUGAGUCCUGGACUUGAGGAAUGGGGCAGAGGAAGAGAAGGCUUACAUCUCAAGAUAUCAAUUCCUGACAGGACUCCCAUCAAAAAAGAAUAUCUAGACAGACUGCUGCUGCUGCUGCUAAGUCGCUUCAGCCGUGUCCGACUCUGUGUGACCCCAUAGACGGCAGCCCACCAGGCUCCCCCGUCCCUGGGAUUCUCCAGGCAAGAACACUGGAGUGGGUUGCCAUUUCCUUCUCCAAUGCAUGAAAGUGAAAAGUGAAAGUGAAGUCGCUCAGUCGUGUCCGACUCCCAGCGACCCCAUGGACUGCAGCCCACCAGGCUCCUCCGUCCAUGGGAUUUUAGAGUACUGGAGUGGGGUGCCAUCGCCUUAUCCGCUAGAUGGACUAAUGAGCCUCAAUUUACCUUUCUGUGAGCUCCUUAUUUCUGUUUUGAAUUUCAUAACAUUACACUUCACUUCAAGGAGUCUAGGCCUAAUGUUUUUCACUCCCGUUCAUUUCAUUCAAUUCCUUUGUUCUAUAGAUGAAGAAACAGGGGUCUGGGAAUUUAAACACUUUCCCCUAAGGCUGUAGUUUUAGCAAACAGCAGAUCAGGUGAGAAUGUAGGCUUCCUGAUUUGCUAUCAAUAUUUUCCCCACUGUAACACUUUGUUUCCAGUUGUUGCAGGCAGAAAGCACAGUAAUCAUUGUCAGUAAUAUUAAUAAAAAUUUC
rnacentral:lncRNA from 1 species